CAAGCAGACGCCUGAGUGGCUCAGCUGCCGGGCAGAGAGCAAGCCGAUGAGGUUUUCCACGUCAGGGAUGUGACAACCUGUCAGGUGAAUCUGCUGCUCUCGCUCCAGCCAGGUAUGGUGCUGCCCCAGGCUGCCCUGACUGCUGCUGCUUUGCUGGAACAAGAUAAAAGAUGUAGAAAUGGAAGAGUUUGGGGAACAGUCAGGCUCUGCCUCAAACCAUCAUUACCAGCUGGUCUUCUGGUCCACACAACCUAUUGUGAACACACAGUAAGUGCAUUCCUGAGAAUGAAGGGGCAGGGUGGGGAAGAAUGCACUCUCCAGAGAGAAUAGUUAUAAAGUCAACAGAAGCCUCGAUACAAAUCUAAGCUGUUCGAUCUAUUCAUCACAUGAUGCCAGCAAUUGCUUAAUGUCUCCAGACCUCAGUUUCCUGAUGUGCAAA